CAGCAGCCACGGGAAUACGUAGGUGGCAAGCGUUGUCCGGAAUUAUUGGGCGUAAAGGGCUCGCAGGCGGUUUCUUAAGUCUGAUGUGAAAGCCCCCGGCUCAACCGGGGAGGGUCAUUGGAAACUGGGAAACUUGAGUGCAGAAGAGGAGAGUGGAAUUCCACGUGUAGCGGUGAAAUGCGUAGAGAUGUGGAGGAACACCAGUGGCGAAGGCGGCUCUCUGGUCUGUAACUGACGCUGAGGAGCGAAAGCGUGGGGAGCGAACAGGAUUAGAUACCCCCGUAGUCCCUGUCUCUUAUAC
rnacentral:rRNA from 1 species